rnacentral:lncRNA from 1 species
UUAGCUUUGAACUUCUAUUCGAUAUGUAAUGGAGUAAUUAGAUGAACUGUUAUCAUUGCAACUCAAUAAAAGUCGGCUAGAGGAUGAAGAAUUUAACGAUUAUGUACUCGAUCAUGAACAGCGGUGUGAUUAUGUCUUAAUGAUACUUUCUGGCUAUAUUAUGGUGUUUGAUGAGAGGAUUCAGAUUCACCAUCCCCUGUUUCUGAUUAUGUUUGUCACGUUUUCGAUCAAGAUGCAUUUGUUGACGAAUUGACGAAUUAUUGAAUGUAGGGAAGACAUCCUCAAAAGAAAGGCGGUAACGUCGAUCAUUGAACUUAGGGUUUCACAAUUGGGAUUAGGGUUUCCAUCAAUCGUUUGCUCGAUCAUUUUCAGUCCAUAUGAACCGUC